rnacentral:tRNA from 2 species
AGGGCUAUAGCUCAGCGGUAGAGCGCCUCGUUUAACAACCGAGAAUGUCUACGGUUCGAAUCCGUAUAGCCCUA